rnacentral:rRNA from 1 species
UACGAAAGGUGCGAGCGUUAAUCGGAAUUACUGGGCGUAAAGCGCGCGUAGGUGGUGUGUUAAGUCGGAUGUGAAAGCCCUGGGCUCAACCUGGGAAUGGCAUCCGAUACUGGCCCGCUAGAGUGCAGUAGAGGGAGGUGGAAUUUCCGGUGUAGCGGUGAAAUGCGUAGAGAUCGGAAGGAACACCAGUGGCGAAGGCGGCCUCCUGGACUGACACUGACACUGAGGUGCGAAAGCGUGGGGAGCGAACAGG